rnacentral:misc_RNA from 1 species
UCACAGUUUGCACUGGCAGUCUUGCUAGAGUUCCCGACAUGACUCGCUGGCAACUAACAACAGGGGUUGCGCUCGUUAUAGGACUUAACCUGACACCUCACGGCACGAGCUGACGACAACCAUGCAGCACCUUGUAAUUUGUCUUGCGAAAGGUCUGUUUCCAAACCGGUCAAACUACAUUUAAGCCUUGGUAAGGUUCCCCGCGUAUCAUCGAAUUAAACCACAUGCUCCACCGCUUGUGCGGGCCCCCGUCAAUUCCUUUGAGUUUCAAACUUGCGUUCGUACUCCCCAGGUGGGAUACUUAUCACUUUCGCUUAGCCACUGAAGUUGCCCCCAACAGCUAGUAUCCAUCGUUUACGGCGUGGACUAC